GGCCUGGAGCACUCGCAGGGCGGGCCGUUUGGGUGCAGAAGCGCCUGCAUAACUGUGAGCAGAAGAGGAAAAGGGUCACAUCCGCCGAAAGAGGGAGGUUGCUUCAUUUCCGCCACAUGCACGCGGUGUACCCUUCCCGUGCCCGGUGGGUGCGAGACCAGCAGAGAGCAGGACAGACCACACCCCUGCCUCCUGUAGCCGGACGAGGGGGGUAGGGUUAGUCUGAGAAAAGGGUACUAUCUCUGUAAGGUAUCCUGUGUUAGCUGAGGUUUUCAGCAGCAAUAAUUUCCUUGGGGAUGUAGCGUAUGGUAAAUAGGUAAAUACGUGAAUAUACAAGUGUUUACUUAUCGGGACUGUGUACAGACGUGAAGGGGGUUACAUAAGCGAGGAGGAGGAGUCACGAGUCGCGGGGCGGAGGUGACCUGGGAAAGGGGGCCUGCGCUGUCUCUUUAGGGGGGGGUACAUCACAACGGGCUCAAAAUCUCUAGAGAGAAGGUCCCUGCACAUUUUUGAGGUGUCUCCUAGAUGAUUUGGGUUUGCUGACAUUUUGUUAAAUCCUGCCCCCGGGGUUUCUUUCCAGGGAUAAGGAACCUCAGGGGUGGUGAGCACCUGGCUCUCCUUCCCUUCAGAGCCACACCAAAAUUAAAUUAAAGAUGCAACCAGCAGGGGGCAGCACAGACGGGGCCUUUGAGCUACAGAGAAAACCACUUGGGGAAACUGGUCACCCCAGAUGCCAAGCUUCUAAGUUAUUCCGAGGAUUAUUUUAACUAAAUGAGAUGGCGAGGUCCUAACUUGUGACACGAUGCGAGUCCCAUGAAUGUGACACUAUCACCGACUUGGAGCAAAGGACGAUUUGGGGGGAGCGUGUUUGUUUGUUUGUUUGCUUAAUCACUCACUUCCAGUGGUUCUCAGCCAGGGGCAGUUUGCCUCCAGGGGGACAUUUGCGAAUAUCCAGAGACAGUUUUGGUUGUCGCAGCCGGCUACCACCUUCCAGCAGGUAGGAGGGACUAGAGAUGCUGCGCAUCCUACAAUGCACAGAAAACCCCACGACAAAGAAUUAUCCAGCCCCAAAUAUCAAUGGCGCCACUGUGAAGAAACCCUGCCCCAUGCAGUCCGCUCUUACUGAUCCAGAUCUUCGGCAAUUUUUUGACUGAUUAGUUGAAGAGUUCCAAAGACCAGGGGAAAGAAAGCGAUUAUAAGCAACUAUUCAAAUUGAAAGCUUAGAGAUCUUCUUUUUUCCCUCUGAGCGGCACCUUCGGUGGCCGUGGGGUCCUGUGGCUGCGUUUGAAUGUCUCUUCUGCCUUCGACAAGCUGGAUGGAAAUGGACAGGUUAUGCAGAAUCUCUCAACUUUGAUUUCCUCAGAUGUCAAAUGACCAGAAGCCCCACAAGCCAGGGCCUGUCUCUGUUUGGGGCAGCAAGGCCUGCUUAGCCAUGUUCGAAACUCAGCCCCGAUGACUAGAUGCACAGAAUUUUCAUUCUGCUGAAAGGCCAAAGGACACUAACAAAGAUGCCAAAGCUGAAAACUGUUUGGAGAACAAGAAACAAAUGAGGAGAGAAAACUGCAGCCUUUGAUUCCAUAAUGAAUUUUGCAUAAAGGGCUCCGUAUUACCGUACGCCAGAGACCAUGCUGCCACACAGUCUGCGUUCCAUUUUUUAUGAGAAAGAGGAAGGUGGAAAAAACAACACUAAAUUGAUAUUUAGUAUUAAAGAAGGUGUAUUUAAGCAUAUAUCUUGAUUUGAGCACGUGGACCCAAACCAUUUGUAUUUUAUAAUCUAGUAAAAUCUUGGAGCUGAGAAGAAGCAUCUUCUAGAUGAGCAAACUGAAGCAUCUGGGCCUUGGGUCACAGCCCUGGCCCUUCAGCACGUGGUGGCCGACUUGGGAACAGGGGCCGCGGGGCUUGUCCCUUUGCCCACACCUCCCUGCCUCGGAGAUUUAGCGCCUGGCUCUAGGGGUGACCCCCGUCCCCAAGCGCACUCUUCUCCCUGCUCUUGAGAAGGUCACACCUUCCUUUCAUCUCUCCCGAGCACCUGCUACGUGCCAUUCUUGGCUCUCAGGCUCAGAGGAGGACAGGUGCGGCUCCUAUGCCCUUGCCAUCCAGUGGGCAAAGCCGUGGGUAAAAGAGCUUCGACAUGUGAAACAACGUGACUUCAGGCCAUGUCCCUGCUCAGGGGGACAUGUAGCACGUUGCGAGCCUGAUGGAGGGUGACGCGGAAGGGCUCUGGGGCAGAAAACGCUCACUGGAGACGCGUCCUGAAGCACGAGGAGCCCAUCACUCGGAGCUGAGAGGGAAGAGGCUCAGACCAAAAGGAAUAGCAACCAGGGCCAGCGUCGCAGGUGGGCGCAUGGAAAGGAAGCCUGUGGGGGAAGAGGUCGGAGCCUGGGCCCGGCAGCGUGCUGGGACCACGGGCAUGGCCCAAGCCCAGGUCCCCCCAGGGAGGAGGCAGGGCUUCGAUUCGACCUGGAGCCUCGGUGCUCACGGAUUUGACGGUGCUGCAUCGGCUGUGCUGGGCAGACACUUGUUUCAUGUUGAGUCACCAGGAAGUCAGUUACAGGAGGGUCCCGCUGUACCGGCCUCUGGCCACGCUGUGCUCACUCUCAGGACCUGGCAUGGAACAGAGUGCCCAGAGCAUGGCCGUGAAGAGUGGCCCUCCCUUCCCUUAAGCCACUGACCCGUGCAAGGUUAGUUAGUCACUCCUGAAUCAGCCGUGAGGAAGCGUUCAAGAGAGUCUAAGGCCAACUUUUAAAAUAAGACUCGUUCUUUUUUAAUCACACAUUUUAAUCAUUUUCAUCACACAUUUUGCUUAUUAUGUAUUUAUUUAUUUUAUUUUAUUUUUUUGCUUUUUAGGGCCGCACCUGCAGCAUAUGGAGAUUCCUAGGCUAGCGGUCUCAUCGGAGCUAUAGUUGCUAGCCUAUGCCACAGCCACAGCCACAGCCACGUGAGAUCUAAGCCACAUCUGCGACCUACACCACAGCUCACGGCAACGCCGGAUCCUUAACCCACUGAGCGAGGCCAGGGAUCAAACCUGCGUCCUCAUGGUUCCUAGUUGUAUUCAUUUCCGCUGUGCCACAACGGGAACUCCAUAUUUUUCUUAUUUAAAAGAAAGAAAGAAAUGAAAGAAAACUUGGCCCCCAAGGCUCAUGUCCCCUAGAGUCCUCUCCUCCAACCCUGGUGGUCUUAUUAGCCCGUGGCCUCUAUCCCACUACAGCGGGAUGCUCUUAUUCUCAGUUAGCUGGGAAGCCUCCCAGACCAUUUGUUAUGCCUGCAGAUGCACGUGUGCACUCCUGGAAAAGAUGGUGUGAUUUUUAUGGGUUGGUUUUAAUAAAUUAUACCAUCCUGCAGGAAAUGGUUCUGCAACCUGCUUUUGCUCCCGCGAGACAGUAGGUCUUGAAGAGCUACCCAGGUCAUGUAAACACUCGCCUCACUUUGCAGAUUGCUGUGUAAUAUUCCUCAGUGUGACAUUCCGCAGUCCGUCCCCCUAUGGAUUCUGGUGUAAACUGUGUCCCAUUCUCUUUGUGUUACGGAUAAAAGGAUGCUGCCGAGGGCUUUCCUCUCUGUGCCCUUCGUGAGAUAUUCCUCCACAGUGGGAGGAGGCUUUGCUCUUAGCUGCAAUUCCUAAAUGCCCACGCGGAAUCAGUCGUGAGAAUUUCUCGCAACCCCGCAGUCGACUAGACCCGGAGAUCUUUCUUCACCAUGAGCUCAGUGCCUGACAUGAGCUGGUUCCCACCGCCUCUGGAACUCUGUCAAGCGAGAAACUUAUUGGUGAUGAACGCUAAGAACGCAGAGGGAAAGCAACCGAAAACCCGGUGCAGGGUUCUCUCGCGAGUAGAGGUCAGGUUCCCUUUCCCAGGCUGUCAAGUGCGUGCAGGCGGCCCGGGGGCUGCACUGUGUCACGGCACUGACCCUUAGGGGAAAGGACUAAGGGUCCCUGGGGAAAGGACUCCUGCACUGAGUUCUGCUCGUCCUUGUCCUCGGCCUUCCUGGACGUCAGGGGCUCGGCUGCCACCCGCUGCAAGUUGCGUGCAAAUAACUAAGCUUGCGUUGCUGUUACAAUGAAAUGAAAAAAAAACCUCCACCCACUUUGCAUAGAUUAGCUCGCAGAGCACGCGGUUUCACGCCCGGAACAACCCCGGGACACGCACGGGAAAGGGAGAAUUCAACAGUAUAACAAUGUUUUAUGGACACUCUUACUCAGUACAGCUGAGUGGACGGACACACCAGGAAUUACUUGGUGGCCCGAGCUGGGACGUGAGAGUAAACCUGGAAGCCAGGUCUUCUGAUUCGCAGUCCUUUUCUCCUGCGCGGGACAGCCCUGGACCUCCCAGCCGUGUCGCUGGGGAGAGCCGUUUGGCACCUUAACAACCAGCAGAGACACGCGUCCUCCUCAGGGCCGCAGGGACCUGGUGGAAGAUGCUGUUCAGAGACAGAGUUUUGGUCUUAAACAGCCAAGUGAACAAAGAGGGACGAGAGCCAAGUUUGGGGGACGAGGGCCUGGGGGUUCAUGCCGUGGGUGAGCCCUGAGGAGAGCUCCGUCCACGCCGCCUGGGAGGCUUUUGCUCCACCCACUAGUUAAUGUCCUCUCUGGGGUCCCUUAGCGAGCGGGUCACAGAGGCCUCUCUAGGGAAGCGGCUAUUCAGUGAAGACACGGGGGGUGAGAAGGUUCCAGCUUUGCUAAGAAACAGGAGAAAAGCCAACCAGGUACAGGUAGGAGCACGUGUGCCCUUUUCCCGAGAUGGAAAAGCUCACGGACAGGCCAAGGGCCUCUGUGCAGGGCGCCCAAGGAGGCGCUAGCUAAGGUGGCCCCUGAGUGACUGAUCUGGGCUCAGAGGACGCCUCCCAGGAAAGCAGGAGGCCUGAGGGAACCUUAAGGAGAUGCCUGGCUGUGUGCAAGGUCAGCCCAGCAGAGGAAGGCACCACCAGCCGAGCUGCAGGCGGGAGCUGAGCUCUUGGUGGAGAGAACGACGAGUUGGGGGGGCCCCCCUCGAGACUGGAUGCACCCACACAGCAGCUCAGCCCAGAGCAGGCUGUCUCCCUUGGGACCGGCAGGCCCGGGUCCGGCUCUCCCUCUCCCAGGUUCCGUCCAGGGCUGGCUCCAGCCCAGCUCCUGGCUCCUGCUGGCGCGGUGGCGGCAGGAAGCAGGUUCAGGCUGCGGUCGGAUGUGAUGGGAGCGAGGCCUCGGAGAACCCCGCCGUGCGACCGUCUGCCCGAGGCUCCCCUGCUGCCGACACUGUGGCCCCAACACUCUGAUCUCAAAGCCAGGCCCUUUGUUCCCCCCCCACCAGAAGCUUCCCAAAGACCUCAGGAACCCCUUUGAUUUUUGUAAACGUUUCUCCGCAGAACAAUGCGUGGAACCAGAGGAAAAGCACGGCCCCAUCGCAACACUGUCUCGGCCAGAAAAACAGGCCUGCGUCCUGCCAAUUGCACGGAGGCGAGGGGUCCCCCAGGACGAGGAGAGGUGCAGACGUGGCGUUAGGAGGCCGCACAUGUGCCCUGGCCGGAGGACCGCUCUUCCCUGGGGAUUGGGACUUCAGCUCAGACCGGUGGGGCCCCCACGGGACCAAGCGUCCCUGGACCAGCCUAGAUCAUGGUCGGACCUUCUGCCGGACGCAGCCCCACACACUCAGAGGCUUAGAACCAAGACCAUGAGGGUGAAGGGACGCUCAGGACUCAGCUGUCCAUCUUCCAUUUGUAAACGUGGAAACUCAGGCCCAGAGAGGGGCCCCUCUCAGGUCCGCCGCGUUGUUCCGAGACAGUGAAGGGUGUGGACACGGACACGAUGCUAGGUUGGCAUCUGUCAUUGCUGUUGGUUUUCCCAGUGAGGUGGGUACCGCCCUCAUCUCUGCCUUACACGCUAAGCUGUGGCCUGGAGACGUUAAGUCAGUCACCUAAGGCCACGCAGCUGUGAAGCGUAGAGCCGGGCCUCUAAUCGGGACCAUUUUAUCCUGCUGCGUCGGGACAGCAAGCAGGGCCUCUGACCUCCCGGCCCAGCAGGGCCCCUUCCACCCCAGGUCGCAGGUCCUGGACGAGGUUCUGUUUACACCCUGCUCAGCUCCUCCGCGAAGACGCCCCUGCAGACACAUCGCUUGGCCGGGCCCGCCCCGACUCUGACCUGCGGUUCUGCUUUGCCCCGUGCCCCCAGCCCUGCUCCCAGUCACAAUGCUGAUGCCGCCCUCUUCGGCCUCAGCUCCAGCGUGGCCUGCUGGGGCAGACGCCCCCCCUUCAUGCCCCGAGUGCCCCUCUCCCCUGGCUUUGCGGAUUAUAACCCUAAGUGUGUGUUUACCCAUGGCCUCCCCCCCGCUUUCCUGGCCACCGUGGUGCCUGGCAAGGAAGAAAGAACAAGCAGAAGUUGCUGGAGCUCCCGCUGCGGCGCCGUGGGAUCGGCAGCGUCUCUGCAGUGCCGGGACACAGGUUCAAAGGACCCAGGCUUGCAGCAGCUGUGGUGUAGGUCCCAACUGUGGCUCAGGUCUGAUCCCUGGCCCAGGAACUCCAUAGACCA
rnacentral:lncRNA from 1 species